rnacentral:tRNA from 1 species
UCGGUAGACGCUACGGACUUGAAAAAGCCCAUUGAAAUUCCUCACUUUUUCUUUACCCUCAUCCUCUUUU